AGGGCGACAUUCAUCCAACACAUAGCAUAGACAGGGAUGUAUCUCCUAGCCCUUCUACCCAGUAGACGGAUGUUCAGGGAAAGGCACCUGCAUUACUUGAUGACAUCUAUACAGAGUUGGACUCACUAUUAUACAAUGAUGACAUCACAUAUUCCACAAACCCUGUCGAAAUGAUGAGAAAGAUCCAAAAAUAAAUUAAUAGAGAAAUUUUUUCUUUGGCAUACCGAGUCCCUCAAAUUGAUGCAAUAAAAGAGAGGGUGCAACAAUUGAUGCAAAGAGCACAAAACUUGGAAAAAUAUUGCAUCCUCAUCGAGCUGGUGGCCAUAAUCAGGGUACUCUAGGUAGUUCAGGUGAUGACCAUGUUCAAUACAUUACAAGUACUUUGAUUCUUUGAUAUAUCCUUUAUGUGUUCACAGGCUCCUUGUUGUUAUCAAACAUGUGACUACUAUCACUUGUGUUUUGAUAUCUAUUCAGACCAUAUGUUUCCUCUUUUAUAGACCAUAGAACUAUUAAUUCUUCAUAACAGCCCAAUACUUCUUUUUUAACUAAGGUCUUUGUCUUGAAUAUUGAUCUCUACUAUUUUGAUUGCAUGAUUCCUCUCACUGAUGCAGAGACACCAAAGAUUUCUCACUUGGAUCCUAAUAUGAUCCAUUCAACCUUCUAAUAUAGGCUGCAUUUCAAAGGCAUUCCUAAACCAAUAUCAUGGAACUACCAACCUUCCAAAGAUCCAAACUAAUCCAAUCUACCCUUUCAACAUGUUCAUGAACAAUUUCAAUAUAUAUAAGAGGCAUAAUUCAAGUACAAACUCUUCUAGAUACACCAAGUGGAUGGGUUUGAGACAUCUAACAAGAUUAAUGUUUUGUAUAUUAAAUGUAUUGUAUAUUUAAUGUAUUAUUCUUCGGGUGAUGUCCAUAUUCCUGUGUAAACGCCGCAUUGCCAACUGCAAUAUCAGCAACACGCAACAUGUAGACAUCCUCUAGUGUACAUCAUACUGACCUCGGAGUUGGUAGAUCCCUCUUUUUCUCUCUCUUUUGUUAUGUGUUUAUUUCCCUUGAAGUGUUUUUUCUUGGUGGCAUUUCAUAGUGAAUUCAUUUUCUGCAGCAGGACAUACAUGAUGAUGCAGAGGCCACUAGUGGUGAUACCAUAGCAGCAUUUCUUGGAUCUUCUUGUAUUUCUAGUAUGGGAACGUUGCUAGUCACAUUUGUGGUGACCGGAGAUUUGCUUCCCAUAAAGAUAGAGAAGGUUCUAGGUACUUUAAACUUAUUGUUAUAUAGUCUAAUUGUAAUUUCCUUAUUGAUCACUCAUUUUGGACUAAUCAUCCCAUGAUUUGUUUGUAGGAAAUGAUAUUUUUUAUAUAAAUAUUAAUGAAAUUACAUUAGAUAUCUUCGGGCCCACCAUACGUAAAUGGUAGAAUGAGAAAGAAAAAAAGUUAAAAGAUGAACUCAUAAACCAUUUGAUUGGGUUGUUCGGAAAUGACACAUUUGAGAAAAGUAAGGUCCUUGACCAAGCUGGCAAACAUCUAAAGUAUGUAAGGGACCAGUAUAGGACACACUUAGAGAAGAACAAAAAGUGUGAGUGUCCCCCAAUGAUUGCAGAGAGGGUGUGGAAGGACCUGAUUUUGGAUGCAAAUGAGAGAGUUGAAAGGAAAAAAGGAAAUACACCACCAGGAAAAAGAAGAUAUGUGAUACUAUUAAGAAUGUAAUUAUGUACUAAUUACUCUUUAUAUUUAUAUAAUCUAUCAUAUUUCAAACUUUUUAUAGAGUGCUCGACACAUCAAAGGCAACUAAGGCAAGACUAGAAAAGCAAGGGCAACACAAACUCGACUCUGGUGGCUAUAUGAAAUAUGUUGCACGAAUUGGCUCUAAAUUCAAUAGAGUGCCCACAGAAGAUGACAUGAAAAUUGCCUUCCCGCAAGGCUAUGGAGUCGUGGUUGAACGCCUAAGAGAAUUGAGUGGGAAAACACAAGAUUCAGAUGCAUCCAUCACACAGGAUGGAACACAACCUUCAUCACAUAUGACGUUGGAAUGCAGGAUGGAACACAACCUUCAUCACAUAUGACGUUGGAAUGCAGGAUGGAACACAACCUACACAUGAUGAAGGUAGCAGUGUGCAUCCCGGUACUGGAGAGCAUGUAGACCGUGGUGACUAAGUUGAGCAUGAUCCAGAGGAUUUAGAAGGUGUUUGGGAUGUUGAGGAUGAGGCUAGAAAAAAUGAUCAGGAAGAUGAUGUGGCCCCGUCAGCGGACCCCCCUUUGCAUACACGUCCUCGUCGUGAGUACAAGACUAGGCAUACAUUAACUAGAUCAUGAGCAGAGGGCAGAAGAACUGAAGAGGAGCCAAAUGAUGAAGACAAUGAUGGUCCAAUUAGUCUUUACCU